UACGUAGGGGGCGAGCGUUGCUCGGAAUUACUGGGCGUAAAGCGCACGUAGGCGGCUUGCUAAGUCGGGUGUGAAAUCCUGGAGCUCAACUCCAGAACUGCCUUCGAUACUGGAGAGCUUGAGUCCGGGAGAGGUGAGUGGAACUGCGAGUGUAGAGGUGAAAUUCGUAGAUAUUCGCAAGAACACCAGUGGCGAAGGCGGCUCACUGGCCCGGUACUGACGCUGAGGUGCGAAAGCGUGGGGAGCAAACAGG
rnacentral:rRNA from 1 species